UGGGGAAUAUUGCACAAUGGGCGCAAGCCUGAUGCAGCCAUGCCGCGUGUGUGAAGAAGGCCUUCGGGUUGUAAAGCACUUUCAGCGAGGAGGAAGGUGGUGGACUUAAUACGUUCAUCAAUUGACGUUACUCGCAGAAGAAGCACCGGCUAACUCCGUGCCAGCAGCCGCGGUAAUACGGAGGGUGCAAGCGUUAAUCGGAAUUACUGGGCGUAAAGCGCACGCAAGGCGGUUUGUUAAGUCAGAUGUGAAAUCCCCGGGCUCAACCUGGGAACUGCAUUUGAAACUGGCAAGCUAGAGUCUCGUAGAGGGGGGUAGAAUUCCAGGUGUAGCGGUGAAAUGCGUAGAGAUCUGGAGGAAUACCGGUGGCGAAGG
rnacentral:rRNA from 1 species